rnacentral:rRNA from 1 species
CCCCGGGCUCAACCUGGGAACUGCGUUNUGAACUGGGUGACUAGAGUGUGUCAGAGGGAGGUAGAAUUNCACGUGUAGCAGUGAAAUGCGUAGAGAUGUGGAGGAAUACCGAUGGCGAAGGCAGCCUCCUGGGAUAACACUGACGUUCAUGCCCGAAAGCGUGGGUAGCAAACAGGAUUAGAUACCCUGGUAGUCCACGCCCUAAACGAUGUCGAUUAGCUGUUGGGCAGCAUGACUGCUUAGUAGCGAAGCUAACGCGUGAAAUCGACCGCCUGGGGAGUACGGUCGCAAGAUUAAAACUCAAAGGAAUUGACGGGGACCCGCACAAGCGGUGGAUGAUGUGGAUUAAUUCGAUGCAACGCGAAGAACCUUACCCGGUCUUGACAUGUACGGAACCCUCCAGAGACGGAGGGGUGCCUUCGGGAGCCGUAACACAGGUGCUGCAUGGCUGUCGUCAGCUCGUGUCGUGAGAUGUUGGGUUAAGUCCCGCAACGAGCGCAACCCUUGUCAUUAGUUGCCAUCAUUAAGUUGGGCACUNUAAUGAGACUGCCGGUGACAAGCCGGAGGAAGGUGGGGAUGACGUCAAGUCCUCAUGGCCCUUAUGACCAGGGCUUCACACGUCAUACAAUGGUCGGUACAGAGGGUAGCCAAGCCGCGAGGUGGAGCCAAUCUCACAAAACCGAUCGUAGUCCGGAUUGCACUCUGCAACUCGAGUGCAUGAAGUCGGAAUCGNUAGUAAUCGCAGGUCAGCAUANUGCGGUGAAUACGUUCCCGGGUCUUGUACACACCGCCCGUCACACCAUGGGAGUGGGGGAUACCAGGAGUAGGUAGGGUAACCGCGAGGAGCCCNC